AUUGAACGCUGGCGGCAGGCCUAACACAUGCAAGUCGAGCGGAAACGACACUAACAAUCCUUCGGGUGCGUUAAUGGGCGUCGAGCGGCGGACGGGUGAGUAAUGCCUAGGAAAUUGCCUUGAUGUGGGGGAUAACCAUUGGAAACGAUGGCUAAUACCGCAUAAUGCCUACGGGCCAAAGAGGGGGACCUUCGGGCCUCUCGCGUCAAGAUAUGCCUAGGUGGGAUUAGCUAGUUGGUGAGGUAAUGGCUCACCAAGGCGACGAUCCCUAGCUGGUCUGAGAGGAUGAUCAGCCACACUGGAACUGAGACACGGUCCAGACUCCUACGGGAGGCAGCAGUGGGGAAUAUUGCACAAUGGGCGAAAGCCUGAUGCAGCCAUGCCGCGUGUAUGAAGAAGGCCUUCGGGUUGUAAAGUACUUUCAGUUGUGAGGAAGGGGGUARYGUUAAUAGCGYUAUCUCUUGACGUUAGCAACAGAAGAAGCA
rnacentral:rRNA from 1 species